rnacentral:rRNA from 1 species
GACGAACGCUGGCGGCGUGCCUAAUACAUGCAAGUAGAACGCUGAAGAGAGGAGCUUGCUCUUCUUGGAUGAGUUGCGAACGGGUGAGUAACGCGUAGGUAACCUGCCUUGUAGCGGGGGAUAACUAUUGGAAACGAUAGCUAAUACCGCAUAACAAUGGAUGACACAUGUCAUUUAUUUGAAAGGGGCAAUUGCUCCACUACAAGAUGGACCUGCGUUGUAUUAGCUAGUAGGUGAGGUAACGGCUCACCUAGGCGACGAUACAUAGCCGACCUGAGAGGGUGAUCGGCCACACUGGGACUGAGACACGGCCCAGACUCCUACGGGAGGCAGCAGUAGGGAAUCUUCGGCAAUGGGGGCAACCCUGACCGAGCAACGCCGCGUGAGUGAAGAAGGUUUUCGGAUCGUAAAACUCUGUUGUAAGUCAAGAACGAGUGUGAGAGUGGAAAGUUCACACUGUGACGGUAGCUUACCAGAAAGGGACGGCUAACUACGUG